rnacentral:rRNA from 1 species
GACAGAGGUGCCAAGCGUUAGGCGGAAUCACUGGGCUUAAAGCGUGUGUAGGCGGACUGGUAAGUACCUUGUGAAAUCCCACGGCUCAACCGUGGAACUGCUGGGUAUACUGCUUGUCUUGAGCCACUUAGGGGCUGUCGGAACAAACGGUGGAGCGGUGAAAUGCGUAGAUAUCAGGAGGAACACCAGCGGCGAAGGCGGCGCUCUGGGCCGGAACUGACGCUGAGGAGCGAAAGCGUGGGUAGCAAACAGG